rnacentral:rRNA from 1 species
UGCGUGACCAACCUGCCCCAUGCUCCAGAAUAGCUCUUGGAAACGGGUGGUAAUGCUGGAUGCUCCAACUUGACGCAUGUCUUGUUGGAAAGUGUUUAGUGGCAUGGGAUGGGGUCGCGUCCUAUCAGCUUGUAGGCGGGGUAAUGGCCCACCUAGGCUUCGACGGGUAGCCGGCCUGAGAGGGCGGACGGCCACAUUGGGACUGAGAUACGGCCCAGACUCCUACGGGAGGCAGCAGAA